rnacentral:rRNA from 1 species
UACGUAGGGUCCGAGCGUUGUCCGGAAUUAUUGGGCGUAAAGAGCUCGUAGGCGGUUUGUCGCGUCUGCUGUGAAAACGCGAGGCUCAACCUCGCGCCUGCAGUGGGUACGGGCAGACUGGAGUGCGGUAGGGGAGAUUGGAAUUCCUGGUGUAGCGGUGGAAUGCGCAGAUAUCAGGAGGAACACCGGUGGCGAAGGCGGGUCUCUGGGCAGUAACUGACGCUGAGGAGCGAAAGCGUGGGGAGCGAACAGG